CCGGGAGCAAAGCAUAAAGCAUAAAGGGAAGCGAAGGCCGGGGAGGCCGUCCUUCUCUUUCUGGCGCGCGAGGGGAGUUGGGUUGUCUCGAUGGCUAUGGAGGCAACGAAGCGCCCUGGUUUAGGCGCGAGGCGAAAGCCUUGGAGGCUGCCCCGGCGGAAGUUGGGAGCGCGAGGAAGGCUUCCCCGCCAUCCGUCGUGACGUCGCGCUGCGAAGGCGCGCGCCUGGCCGCCGAUUGCGAGAGGCGCGAGACCAAGUAGGAACCACGUGGUGAGUCUUGAACUCAAACCUGCGUCCGCUGGAGGUAUAAUGCAGAUGUAAGCAGAAAAGGCUGCCAUUUUGAAUGAAAACUGCUUAGGAUACAAAAGUUGUAGAAUGACUGAACCAGAAAGUAAAAGAUAGAAGAUGGGACUUUUUGUAUUAAUACUGGCAAAAGAACCAUUGUUCUGAGGCAGCUUCACAGCAACUCUGCACAAUGAAAGAAUAGUGCUGUGGCAUCUUUUAAACCUGCAAAUUUAUUUCCCAAGUGUGUAUGGGGGGGACAGUUGAAAGAGGCAUCCAACCAAAAUUCUGGACAUGCUACGUCAUUGACACCUUUGUCAUCAUCAAAUGCUCCCAAAUUGAAGAAACACACCACCUACUCAAUAAUAUAUUCCCUGGGAUCAAAUUUACAUGCAAAGAGGAAACAGACAACAGACACUCAUUCCUUGAUGUCGACAUAAGGAGCCUAGACAACGGAGAAUUAGAAACCGGUGUCUACCACAAACCUAUACACACAGACCACAUCUUCCACUUCACAAGAAAUCACCCCACUUCACGCAAAAGAAAAUGUCCAGACCCUGUUCAGAAGGGCACUGCAGCACCUCAACACUAAGAAAAGCAGAAGAGAAAUGGCUGCUUGACCUCUUUCUCUGUAAUGACUAUCCCAAAAACUUCAUAUUCUGACACACAGCACCUACACCACACCACCAGAAUUGAUAUUCAGUCGGUUUGGACCGGUAAUGGCGACCUGUGGGUGGUGCCCGUUGGGCCCGCCCAUGCGCAAUCCCGUCCUAUAUCACUGUGUUUUUGAUGUCGCACGAGCAAAUUGCCGUGUUUUGUGAUGGCGCAUGGAUACACAGCAAGCGAAGUGUGCAUGCACGCUCAGAUUUCUGGUGCUGGGCGAACCAGUUGCUACAGUAUGUGAAGCCCACUUCUGCACACUGCCAACUGGCUGUAAAUCUGAUUGAUGGAAAAAGUAUACGAAGUUUCAGCAUUGAGCAAUUUUGGCUAUUGGACUUGGCUGCCUUCUGUAAUUUAAAAGGUUUCUAUGAAUAUGGCCAUAGGUUGCAGUACUGUUUAUAAAAACCACUUUUGAUUGCACUAAAGAUCCUGAAAUAAACUUAUUUUUUUUUAUCUGUUAA